CAUGCAGGCGGUUAUACAAGUAGGAUGUGAAAGCCUGGGGCUCAACCUCAGAACUGCAUUCUAAACUGUGUGACUAGAGUAUUGCAGGGGGAGACGGAAUUUCAGGUGUAGCGGUGGAAUGCGUAGAUAUCUGAAAGAACAUCAAAGGCGAAGGCAGUCUCCUGGGCAAAUACUGACGCUCAUAUGCGAAAGCGUGGGUAGCAAACA
rnacentral:rRNA from 1 species